GACGAGAAGGUCGUGAAGGAAAGCCAGGUUAUUAUGCGGGCGAGGAGCCUGAGAGCCGCCGCGAAUCUCAUCCCGGCCAAGGCGUUCCGAUCUCGACGGGUUUAUUUCACUAACGAGGAGAACGGUCUACUUCAUGUUCCAAAAGGGCAGGCACAAAAUCCACAAGCGCAAAUGUUUUCAGAUCCGAACAUGGCUAUGGAUAUGAUGAAG
rnacentral:misc_RNA from 1 species